CGCAUCUGUGCAUGCAGUAUAUCAAUAAGCGGAGGAAAAGAAACUAACAAGGAUUCCCUUAGUAACGGCGAGUGAAGCGGGAAGAGCUCAAAUUUGAAAUCUUCAAGGUUUUACCUUGACGAAUUGUAGUUUAAAGAAGUGUUUUCUGCUGAAGUUUUGGUAAAAGUUCUUUGGAAUAGGACAUCAUAGAGGGUGAGAAUCCCGUAUUUGACCAUUAUUUUCAGCUUUGUGAUACACUUUCAAAGAGUCGGAUUGUUUGGGAAUGCAGUCCAAAAUGGGUGGUAAAUUUCAUCUAAAGCUAAAUAUUGGCGAGAGACCGAUAGCGAACAAGUACCGUGAGGGAAAGAUGAAAAGAACUUUGAAAGGAGAGUUAAACAGUACGUGAAAUUGUCAAAAGGGAAGCGUUUGACACCAGUGUUGUUUUCUCGAAAAUCAAUUAAAAAUGGCCUCGAUUUUGUAUUGCUGAGACCUUAAAAGCUCACUGUACAUUUUUCGUGUCUUUUUUAAUGCACUUUUCGUUUAACAAGUCAACAUCAAUUUCUUUUGUUGUAAAAGGGUCAUUGGAAGGUGGCUUUCUUUUCGGAGAAAGUGUUUAUAGCCUUUGGCCUCUGCAAUCGAAGAGACUGAGGUCUGCAGCGUAGACUCUUCGGGGUUAGAUGACAUUUGUGCUAAGUUAUAGCUUUUUAUAGACAACUUGUUGACUAUAAUUAGUCUUGUAGCUUACUCGCUUAUGCUAUUUUACCUACGCUUAGGAUGUUGAUAGUCACAGCGUGUAC
rnacentral:rRNA from 1 species